rnacentral:tRNA from 1 species
AUUUAAAUAGCUUAAUAAAAGCAUAAUAUUGAAAAUAUUAAUAUAAUUUUUUUUUAAAAUUUUUAAAUA